UACGAAGGGGGCUAGCGUUGUUCGGAAUCACUGGGCGUAAAGCGUACGUAGGCGGACCGUUAAGUCGGGGGUGAAAUCCCAGGGCUCAACCCUGGAACUGCCUCCGAUACUGGCGAUCUGGAGUCCGGGAGAGGUGAGUGGAACUCCUAGUGUAGAGGUGAAAUUCGUAGAUAUUAGGAAGAACACCAGUGGCGAAGGCGGCUCACUGGCCCGGUACUGACGCUGAGGUACGAAAGCGUGGGGAGCAAACAGG
rnacentral:rRNA from 1 species